rnacentral:rRNA from 1 species
GACGUAGGGCGCGAGCGUUGUCCGGAUUUAUUGGGCGUAAAGAGCUCGUAGGCGGCUUGUCGCGUCGACCGUGAAAACUCGCAGCUCAACUGCGAGCCUGCGGUCGAUACGGGCAGGCUAGAGUUCGGUAGGGGAGACUGGAAUUCCUGGUGUAGCGGUGAAAUGCGUAGAUAUCAGGAGGAACACCUGUGGUGUAGACAGCUUACUGGACCAUUUCUGACGCUGAGACACGAAAGCGUGGGUAGCAAACAGG